GAAAGAGAGUCAGCGAUGAUUGCCCUUCAAAUCUCUUCCCUACCAGUGAGCCAAUCAAAGCCAAGGAGUGGUCGUUGAGAGUACGCCCACAGAUGCGAAACUUUAUGAGCUUGUGACCGAGAAUUUGGAGCGCGUUUUAGCUAAUCUGACUUUGAAAACAGCCGUUAUGACACGUAGCCUUUUCGAGAAAUCUAUCUUAGCCCAAAUACUUUGUAUACUGACGUUUUCCUUUGCUCCCGGUCGACAGAAGCGAAAUUCAUCCGGGUGAGGCCGCGCUUCGCAGACCCGGAAAUCCACAACAUGACACUGUUGGAUUGGCGUAUUGAAGAAGUGUGAUUGCAUUUGUUUUUAGGGAGCAUAGUUAUGGCCAUGGCGAUCCAACCACUUGUUGUGCGGUUAUUCCAUUUCAGGGGCCCAUCGUGCAUUUGAACCUUGCUUGAACGGGACCAUCGCCUGGGACAUCACCACAACUUUGUGCGUGAUGUACGGCAAAGGCGUGAAACGGGAACAUCAGCAUGAGGGGAGAGGUCAGCUUCACUCAUCCAAUUGUAUCAGAUCCAUGUGUGUGUGUUCAAUUCAGAUGUAUGCGGUGUAGUGGGAGGAGAAGUUAUGGUGCCAGGUAGAGCUGGUCAACAAGCCUUUGGACCUCUACCAGCAAGUUGAAUUUAUCCUGCUGAAUUACGUUGGCACCACACCCGCCCCUGGUGAGCAUCCAUCCCCCCCCCAACCCCCUUCCUGAUUUCCAAAAACCACCGUUCUGGAUCAAGAGGUUCCACCUGGUGGGGUUCGAUCACCAGGCAGCGUAAGCGUCUUUUCGCUCGUCAUCACAAAUCGACAUUCCCACCGGCUUGUGACAGAUGUGUCUUUGGUUUGCAACGUCCCCCACAACUGGUCGGAGGAGGAUGAGAAGAACUUUCGUGACCAUCUCAAGAGAUGUAGCACGACGGCCAUUUGCACAAGCACUCGGAAUUCAUCCUGCUGGAUUACAUCGUGUUUGUGAAUGUCAGCGAAGAUAUGAGAGAGCAGAUUGUACAAAGUGUGUGUGUGGACAAUGAUUUGAAAAAUUCAGUCAGUGAGACAGUGUCCCCCACUUGGUGGAAAGGAGAGCUGAUAUGGACGAGGGGGCCACCCCAGAGAGCAGCCACGGGGAAUGAGAUGGGAGCCCCCAACCCUUGCAGCCAUCCAGCCAGAGGGGGCCCACCCUUAGCAGCACUGCCAUGAACCUAGUGGAAAUCCACCUCCCGCCCCGUUAGUAUGACUGCAAGGUCCCGACUGGCAGUCAUUGGCCCUACCCUGUGUAUAGGUGACCCCUGAGUGGUGUAGUCCAGUAAAAUCUGGAAGGCACUGCUGCCCCGCAGCCAAACCUUCCCUGACCCAAACCCCACCAUCCUCCAGAAACAAGUGUAUGUAGUACAUUUAAAAAAUGGGGAUGGUUGUGUGUACUGCAUUAAAAGCCCUGGGGGACAGUCAGGGCGAAAGAGCAAAGCGUAUAGACCGGAAACCAACAUUGAUGUACUGAAUCCCGGUUCGAGGCCCGCAUCUCUCCGACCCCGCACCAGCCCCCGAAGAAACCCCGAGUAUGUGUGUGUGCCUGGAUGUGAUUAGUGAAAGAGUAUUUAUUUACAGUGAAUGGUCCGAGUGUGUGCUAACUGGGUGAUUAAGAGGCGUGGCCCCUACAGGCCGGGUCCACCCGGCGGGACAACCACAGGGAUCGAGGACCGUCACACCCAGCCCCGCAGUACCGCCCCCCUGAAACCCCCCAAAUCCCAGCCAGCGCCCGCUACCUACCCCAGAGUGUGGGAGGUGGACACUGUCAGCAGGGUAUCCCCCGCCCCCCCCAUGAGAAGGGGUGGAGGCGACUGCAGCCGGACACAAGGACAGGAGAGAAGAGGAGGACGCAGGCCCGAGUAGCGACAGGGGGCCCCACCGUCCCCCACUAGCAGCCAGAACGGGGAACCAACGCGGACGCCAGCACCGUGGAGCAUGAGCGAAUCCACCACCAGCGCACACCAGGAGGCCUGUCCAGUUACCCCCUGACUAGUCGACUUUCAGCCUCUCAACAGUAAAUAUUCUCCGAUUUCUGUCAUCCUUCACGAAAGCAGACUGAUUAUCUUUGUGUCGAAUCAAAAUAAGACAUUUGCAAACAUGUGGGCGGUAUUCCAGCAAGCAAGUUACGUGGAAACCCAGAAAGUUAACCCUCAGAUGAAGGGAAGCCUGAUCAAUCACUUUCAAAGUUUCAAAGAGUCAGGUACGAGGAAUUCCAACUCUUUGAACCUAACCUGCUCGCUCAAUCCUGACUUUCUACAUUUCCACUCCCACUUGAUGCAAACGCAGCUUAAUUAUCUGUUUCUCCGCAAUAGCUACAAUUCCCUAGAUUUUCUAAAUAUUUUUUUUUUUUUUUUUUUUACUAAUGGUUACCGUAAUUUCUCAUGUAUAAUGCACACCGAUGUAUAAUACACACCCCCAAAGUUGACCUCAAAAUUUCUGCCCUUUUGGACAAUCCUCCUGUCGGAGAGGUGGGUGACCUUAUUUCAUUCAGUUGGUGAUCCUGAAACAUCCUAAUGUUUCUCUUUGUUUAUUAUAUGUCUUUCUGGUCUCAAUGUUAUUGUUAUGUCUUUGCCUGCCUUAUAAUGGGUACAUGUCAACAGAGUUGCAUUUCCAAAUAGUAGUAGAAACAGUUGAGAAUCGCUAGCUUGACGCAAUGACAAACCGAACGAACUUCUGAGUUUUCAAUAUUUGUAUCUGCAUUUUAUUUGUAUUGGAGCUUGAGUGGACAGUACGAUUCACAUGGAGGUUCUGCCUGUUGUCUAUUUUGUCAGAAUAAAC